AUUAGUCUAAACUUUCUUCUAGGAAGAGUCCAUGAUUUUAUUUUUAGGCCAACUUAAGUCCCUAUGGCUUUAUGACAUUUGUCAACAGCAAAAGAGAUACCUUAAAACCGUCACAUAAGUCAAUGAAAAGAAAACCAGAGCUGGGGAAUAGCUUAGUGGUAGAGUACUUGCUUAAUAUGCCUAAUGUCAUGAAGAACAAUGUCUUAGAACAAUUUAAAAAUGGUAUUUCACUGAAUUGAAAAUUAUUUACAGGAGAAUUUAAAAGAUAGAAUUUUUUUCUGGGUUGUAUUGCCAUUCCUAUUCUCAUGUUACCAUUUCUUUAAAAAUGACCUCAGUAGUAACCAAGCUGUUAUAUUGUGUAUCUGGAGCAGAUGGUCAAGUACAGGGGCACCUGGGUUGCUGGCACUGCUGCAUCUAUGUUAGUAACAUCUGGUUCAAAGCUGAGCCACCUCAGAAUCUACAGGUUUCUCUGAGUUCUGGGCAUAAUUGAGAACCAGCCAGUUUGUCAAGAGAUCCCAUUCAACUGUCAAUAUGAUGGGGCAAGCAGUGAUGGUUGACAGCUGAUAUCGCACCAUCCCUUCAUCCCCCUAAUUCAGACCCUUUGAAGGGUCUAAGAAAGCCAUACUGUGGGAGGAAAGGAGAUAUGACUACUGCACCGACCAGUAACACAACAGUGAUUCCUAUAAAACAUAAGGAUGAUAUAUGGUGCCCUACAUAUCACUUUGAAUUUCAGAAAAAUAGAAUUUUCUUUAAAGUACAAUCAUUUUUUACAUGAAGUACUCAAAUUUUUAUACCUGAACAAUUGAUUUCUGAAAAAAAUGACAUUCAUUCUAUAAAUUAAAGUAUCAAGAAAAUUCCCACAGAUUCACAGAACCAAUCAUGUGAUCUUCAAAAACUGCUACUCCAUUCUUCCUUAUCUCAAGUUAUGAAGACUUGCCCACAGGAAGUUUCUUUGUUGGAACCCUGCUCCUCUUGGGAUGAAGUGUUUAAGGAUAUUGUGGUCUUGUCAGAUGCCAGAUCCAUCUGGUCCUGAAGCAGGAAAAACUCUCUGAAGGUUAAGGUGAACUAGUAACACUACUGACAGUCACCGUGGAGUUGACUUUGAACAUGGAUAUUUAUACAUGUACAUGUAAAUAUACUUAAAACCAUACUGUCAUUCAACAGUUGGGCCAAUAUAUAACAUGUUGCAAAAAUCAGGAUAGAGUACAUGGCAAACAAACCUUUACAGUAUGAAAGGAUGAAGAAUUUGAUGAUUCUGGACUUUUUUGUAGUCUGGGAACCUAUAUAUUUAAAACAAAACCAAAGGAAACAAAACAAAAUAAGAAAGCAUUCUGUAAACUUCCUGUGAUUUAGGCACAAAAGCAGUUUCAUUGCCUUUAUUAAAUGCUAAGACCACUUUUAUUAAGGAUUGUUGCAGAAGGGUAUUUGUUGAAAUACAUCAAGAAAUGUAUAAAUUUACAUGGAUUAUAUGGAUGUUUACUUGCUAUGCCUAAUGACAAGAAGUCAUUUCCUAUAUGCCUCUAUAAUAUUUACUCACUAGAAAAUUUUGUUAGGAAUGGAAACUUAUUAGUUAAAAAGUUUUCAAUAUUGUAAAUAAUUGAGAAUAACUGUGCUAUAAGAUGAAUCUUUGCAAAAAUAUUUUCAUUACACAGAAUCAAAUACACAUUUAAAAUUGUUAUAAUGAGAAUUAGACAAUCCAUGGAUGAAUUCAGUACACUAAUGGAAGGUACACAUAUGACCUUGCUGACCCAGAACAGUCACAAAUUCUUCUGAGUAAACCCUGGAUUUUUAAAUACUACAUAAUUUAAGUCAGUUGUUACCAAGACAAAUAUAAAUAGCAAAAUAUAAUAAUGAUAAAUCUUCAGAAAGGCUACAACAUGGCCCAUAGCUUAAGUCAGAGUUUGACACCUGGAACAAAGAGCCCUCAGCCAGCUUUGCAAGGACUACAUUUAAAGAACAAUUAUUUUCACAUAAUUCCUCAGUGCUGCCUCUAUCAUAGACUGAAUUGGAUCCAUAUAUCUCUACGUUCCAAUAAAAUAUUAGAAGGGAACAUUCCAGUUACCUCACUUAAUUAUGCAAUUCAAAGUAAGUUCUUGAAAUUACUUUCCUAUCCAAUCUUUAUUGUUAUAAUCUUGCUCUGAACAUUUAAAUUAAAUAAUCGUUUCCUUUCAUAGUCACUACUGGAUAACAUUUCACACACUGAUUUAAGCAGCAUGUUGACCUAAUUUAGCAUUGCAUAUUAUCAAAUUUCAUGUUUUCAAAUAAAUAAAUAUAUGUAGUAUAAUAUAGUGAGAGAGACAGUACUUUUCUUCAGAUCUGUCAUCUGAUUCUUAGGGGACACUCUUAUAGAUAAAACUUCCAGUUUUAUAGAUCAAAAAUGGCCAGAUAUUGGGAAUUGUCUUUGGAAAAUUUUUCGGGGGGUGGAGGGAUUUUACUGUGUAACUAUAAGAAAAGCCACAGGGGAUGCUUUGGUCUGGAAGAAUCAUGCCUAUUCCUAACCUACAGUAGAGAACGACACACAUCCACUAUUUAGGUAACAAUACAAUUAUUAACAUGAAAUACAAUUCUUUGAAAAGCUUUUAUGAUACUCUAAAUCACCUUAUACAGGAUAUCAGAACCAAUAAAUAUGAAUCUUAUGCAGAUAAAAGGCAGCCAGUGAAACAAAAUCUUUUAUCAGUAUUUGGUCAAGUGGUUGGUUUUGUGGUAAAUUAAGUAAGUUCUACAGAGAGCAUACAAACCAAGUUUUCUAGGGUAGUUCAUCGAAGAAUGAAGUUUUCAACUAGCAUCAAAUUUGAUUUGAUGGGAAGGUCAAUCUAAGCUUUUAAGCAAGAACAUGGAAAAACAAUUAGUUAUUUACAAUUAGAAAACAAGUAUUAGUUUUUCAGUAAUGGAUUAAGAUAAAACAUAACUGAAACAGACAAAAAACAAAAUAGCUCCAACACUUAAAAUUACAACUCUCCCUGUAAAAAUUCCUAACACAAAAAUCAUAAACAAAACUGCAGAAUAUAAGACGUACAAAUUACAUAUAAAUUCAACAAAUCCUUAUUUGUCUCAACUUUAAUGAGUUAUAGGUCUUGCUAUCUUUGGUUAUUAUGCCUGAUUAUCGUUUUCAUUAUACAUUUUACAAUAAACAAAAUGAGCUCUUGCAGCUCAUAGAAUUUCACUGUUAUCACCAGUUCAAUUCUUAGAUGUCUCUAAUUAUGUAAGUGAAGAUCAGACUUAACAAAACCUAAGUCACUUUCAGACGUGGAUGAACAAAGGACAGAUGUUAUAUAACCAAUUAUCAGAAUUAGUAGAGGCAGAAAACACCUCCCUUCUGCACUCUAACCAUACACGAAUUUAAGUGCUAUUAUAUAAGCAGGCACUACAUCUUGGAUAUUGGGUGAGGAAGACCUUUCCCAGGCAAUUCCCAAUUUUCUGUCUCAACUCUUCAAGGAAGUAAGAAAUAUAUCAUGUGCUAGAAGACAGGCAUAAAAAUAUUCUUGCCUAAAAGAAACAAUUACUGGCUUCUUUAUCUCUGGAAUGUUUUAAUGACAAUAACCAUCAACCCAAACUUUUUGGCUUUCAGUAAUCUUCCUAAAUUAGGAAUAAACAAGUCUAGUUCACGUUUUGACUAUCAGAUUUAUCGUUUUGGCAAAUUUACCCACUUGAAAAAAAAUCCUCUUAAGACCUUCCAAUAAUUACUUUCAAAAUUUCCAGGUUUCUCAGUUAAACAAAAAUGCUGCUUAGGAUAUUAAACAAUCAUAAAUACACACGCAUUAUGCAAUUGCCUGUUUAUUUAGUGGCACCAGUUUUGCAAACUAGAAAUUAUUUCUACUUUUCAUCUCACAUACAAUCUGCAACCAUUCAUAGGCUGAAUGCAAUUUCUUCAAAGGACUUGAAAACAAAAGUACAUUCUUAAAGUUAAAACUGAAUUCACAUAUUUCUUUGGAUCAGAAAAUGAUACAUCAUACAAUAUACACAUUUAUGGAUUUUUCUUUGAAAGUUUGGAUCAUAUAACCUGCAAAGUGGAUGAGUUAAUGUGGAGAAUUUUGCUACACAUUGUGUUUAAGAAAAUUUCUGCAGUUAGUUGUCAUAGUCUUAUAUUUAGAGAUUUUAAACAAUCUAUAUAAAAUUCAACAUGCUUUUAACAUGUACAUGUCUUCCCCCUCAAAACAAUUAUACAAUGAAGUGAAAUUAUUUCAGUUGUAAAACAGAUCAUAACUGGGAUAUUGUCACUAAAAGAUGAUAUUUUCCUACAGAUAACAUGUUCAGUUAGUCAAUGACCAACUAGGUAAGAUAACAGUUACUACAUUUCAGAAGUCCCCAAAAUGCUAGGGCUACAGCUCAGUGGUAGACCACUUGCCUGUCAUAUACAAGGCCCUGGGUUUGAUCCCUAGCCCUGUCAAAGGGGGAGGGGAAAUUCCAAAAAUGGACAAUAAAAACUGUAACUGAACAUUCAAUUUUUCAACAAGUGUCAACAAUUUCAUAAAAUUUUUUAUUGUAAUUAUUUUUUUAAAAUCUUAUUAAUGUAUACAUUGGUGGCUAUUCAUGUUAGAUCCUGUUUUUAACAUUUUGUAUUAAGUCCUUAAUUCCUUAGAAUCUGAAAUGAAUUUAACAUUUAAUGAACUCUAAUGCAAGAAAAAUCAAAUCUUAAAACCUGAGUAAGACAUGACAGCUAUUGUGUUGUUAAUAUAUUACAGCUGCACUGGGGAGGUUCAGAAAACUUUAGAUACACUCAAUUUCCAUUUUACCUUUCUGUUGAAUUUCAAAAGUGGCAAAUCUUAAGAGAUAUUAUUCUCAAAAGUAAUCCAAAUGUGAUUUUUUCAUCUCUAACUCUUUUCGCUGAAAGUCUUUCAAUAUCAGAUUCAAACCAUGCCCCAUCCACCUUAUUUGCUAUUUUCAAAGUAAAACAAUUCCUUAAAAUAGACUCAAGUUAUAUUUACAUCCUUGGAAUAUUUUUAUGGACUAUGCAGGAGAAAAAAUGAUUUCCUAUUAUUCUGUAAUUUGGAAUCUUAAUUGGGGUUGAGGAGUAAUGAACCACUGCAACAUUAUAAUUUUUAGGGAGUUUCCCCAUGAUUCAUCUGUCUCAAAGGGACAACAACUCCCAAAAAGUUAAGAACCAUUACUAAAAUGAAUUUCUGUCACUCAUUGUACCGAGUUAGGACAGUACUAAUUCUGUAACUACUCAAUCUUACACAUAAUCUAGCUUACUUCAGAAAGUACCAUACAAAUGCAAAUAUCCCUAAACACUUUUUUACUAGGAGGACUAUGUAAAAGGAAAAGAAAAAUUUUCUAAACAUUUAAUGAAAAACCCAUUAGUAGAAAACUGGUUUUAGGAACAAUGAAAAGAACUGAAGGGCUGUUUUAACGUAAAGAAAUACUGCAUGUUAUUCUGCGUUAAAGAAUCAGCAACUUUUACCUUCAUCUUCCUUUAAAAAGUCAAAAUUAUUCUAGCAGUGAAAGGUGAUUCUUGGUGGCUUAUGUGGCAUUAUUGGUUUUUUUUUUUUUUAAACAUCUACAGCCAGGUCAAGGUUCUUAUCACUCUAUCCCAAGUUUUCUUAUUUUCAACCCAGUUUAAUAAAGUACUAACUGGCCUUAAUGAGGUAAUGAGUUUAAACUUUCUUGUUCAAGAAAAUGGAAUUGGCCUAUUUGGAUGAGGGGCAGGGAAAAAUGGGGGUGGUGGUAGUGAGAGAGAGACACAGACAGACACACUGAGAGGAAAUGAGGGCAAUAUUUUCAUGCAAGAUAAGAAAAAAUGUCACUUUUUUAUUAAACAACCUUUUCCCCCCUCUCAUAAAAGUGUAAGCUGUCAACUGCAAUCUGAAUCUGAGUUUUUCUAAUUAGCACCCCCAUCCACUAGUUAAUAUAAAUAGGAAACCAUGAGAGCAGAGGCCACUAGCUUAAUAUAUAAAAUAGAUUAAAGGAAGAGUUUGUAUUGAGGUGAACAAAAGUGGAAAUGCUCACUUGACAAUAAAGCAGAGCCAAUGCCUCUCCUUAUUUCUGAAGAGCUUCUUAACAGUAAUAACUAACACUUAGCUGAUGUAUUUUUUUGACCAAAUAAUACAGUAUCAUACAUUUAGGAAAUGUGUUCUUAAAUAUUUCAAGCAUACUCUCUGAAUAUAUAAUUUAAAAACAAAUACUAACCAAAACACAUGGCACAUUAUUUAAGGAAAUAAAGUAAAAUUAGGCUUCUAAAAUUUUAAAACAUGAAGUAGACUUCCUGAUGCCUAAAAACUGUGAGUAGUCAAUUAAAAAAUGGCCAACUGAUCAGCAGUAUUUAUAAGCAAAAGUAUAUGAAACUCCCUAAGAAACCCAAAGAAUAAAUAUUUAUAUACUGAAAUGUUUACUUAUCCUUUCUAGUACCAAAUCCUAAUACAAUACUAAAAUACAAAGUUGAGCUAAAAGUAUAUGCCAUGAAAUUCAAAAUUAAAAUAAAACUAGAAGGAAAUUAGUACCCAAUUUCAUCAGUUCUUUCAGAAAUCACACAUUGAAUUCCCAGAUGAAUUUGUCCAGUAAAGAUGGUUAGUGAUUACUUAAUGGUAAUCAUUUGGCUAAAAUGUGGUAUCAACACGGGCACUAUGUUAUUAAAAGAAAGAACACAAAAAAGUUUUACUUAAACAAGAUCAAUUUAGCUAGAGAUACUUAUUUUUUUAAAUGCCCUCCUUCAAAUCCCACCUAUAUUCUCAGGAUUGGAAAAUUCUAAGAAAUCUAUGACUUAUUUCUGACUUGCUACUGCCAACAGAAUAAGUGAGCUUCAUCAGUCCAAUUUUACUCUUAUGCGGAGCUAAAUUUUCUUUUGAGAUUUUUAACUUUGGGGAAGAGAAAAGAAACAAUAGUUUUCAGGUGAAUAAAAGCAACAAAAUGAGCCCUUUAGGGCAGAAGCAUACCUUUUGCUCAGUAAAGUACCUGACAAACAGAAGGUGGGCAAAAUAUAUAUAUGUGUAUAUAUAUAUAUAUAUAUUUUUUGAUGAGUGAUCCAGUUAUAAUACUAACAUAUCUUUAGGUUAUUAAUUUUGCCCAAAUGCAAACUCCUUGAAGAUAAUGACCCAUUCAAUCUAUUUACAGUCCUAAGGAAUUUAACCUAGAUCAGUGUUUUGUAGAUUAAUAUAUGGUCAAAUUUAUGACCAUUAUAAUUUGGAUUAUUUGAAUUAUAUAACUGAUAUAUUCUCUAAUCCAAAUUUCUUAAUGUUAUGACGUUUGCAUAAAAAUUAAGCUGGAACAAUUGCAUAGUUCUCUAGAAAUAAAUGGUUACAAUUAAAAAUGUUUGAGGAUAGUUUUAAAACUGAAUAAGAAAAAUACCACUUUGAUUUAAUUUUUAAAAGAUAAUACUGAGAACUGCUUCUGUUAUCUUUAAAAGUAUAUUCCUAAAGAAGGUAAAAAUUAGGGAGAUCUUGUUAAAAUAAUAAGAAUUAGAUAAGUGAAAUAUUUUAAUGUUAGGUAGUAAGAAUCUGGCUAUACAAAACUGAAUUUCUGGUUAACAGCAGUAAACUGGGUUUAUCAUAAUAUGAUAUCUAAAUGAAAAUUUAAUCUUAAUAAAUCUAUAUAUCCUCAGAUAAGAACCACCUCCCCCCCAAAAAAGAAAACAUAGAAUACACCAAAAAUUCUGAGGCAAUGCCCUGAGAUGCUAAUUAGUAUUAAAAAAACAGUGGGGGCUGAGAAUUCAAGAGGUACAAAAAUGAAGUGCACAGAAGAGGUGCAAAAAUGCCUUUUAAAUGUGGUUGUUUCUCACCAUGACCAUUACCCCUAGGAGUCAAGCAGUCUGCUAGUACAAUGUAAAGUUCCUUUCUGUAUUUUUAAAAUGGAAAGUUAUAUUUUGUACGGCAGUGUUGACUCAUAUGGAAAAGAUUUAGUCUUCUUAAAAUCACAUUUAAACACAGUCUUCUCACAUUUCCAGCCAAUUUCAAUAUUAAAAACUUUAACAGGAGUAUCUUAAUUUUCUCUUUUGUUUAAAAGACUCCCAAAAAAAAGUUAUAAUAUGCUAUGCUAUUAUGGUUUGAAAUAUAGCUUCCCAUCACGUGUUUUACUUAUGGUUCAAGUUUUACAUCUAAAAGAUACCACAAUCCAGUUAAAUAUUUUGCAAAUUAUGAAACUAAAAACUUUUGGUUAUUUAUUAAAAAGUUAAGGAACUGAUUUGUUGUAAUAGGGAGGUUAGCUUUCAGUACUGGCAUGUUUGGUAAUCAAAUCUACACUAGAAGCACUGGUAUUCAUUAAGUGCAAAUUUAAAUGCUUGCAAAGUCAUAACUUAGAACAUUAUCAUACUUCGCACUUUACCACAGAUUUAGACAUUAAGCAUUUAUUGUAAGUUAAGUAAGGAAUUGGUUCUGUAAUUCCAACUUUUCUGAAUUUCUAAAUAUAAAUAGUACUUCAAUUUUUCUUCAUUCAUGCUGGAUUAAGAGAUAAAUUAAAUACAAUUAAAUUACAUUUAAUCACCUCACAAAUAAGAGGGAUAUUGAAAAGAGUUUGCUGGUAUGUAACUACUUAAAUCUGAAACAUUUUACAUUACUUUUCCUACUAGGUUCCCUAACUUUACAUUAGUUUUAAGGCUAUAUAUACAAAUAUGUAUAUUUCCAAGUUAGGGAAAACAAACAAAACAAAAUGUAUUAUACUAGCUUUAUACACAAAAUUCUGAUUUUGUAUUUAAUGCUGUAUUUUAAUCUUACAUUUUAGUAGUUUUCUAGUGGGGAAUCUGCUUACUAACUGAUUCAUUUACAUGAUAAUAAAUACAAUAUUCAACCUAGAAAGACAAAAAUACAAAAGGGCACAGAACAGUAGUCUUUUCAAUGUGACAGAUUGUAAAACUUUCACAUGCUUAAUCAGAAAAAUUUAAGCCUAAAUUAAAUUAGGUUUAUAUCUACAAUUCCUUAAGCUUUGAAAUUUAUUUUUAAAGGCCAACAGCUAAAUAUUAUCAACAUGCUAUAUUUCAAAUCACAAAUACAUCUUAACCACUUGGAUUCUAAAGACAUGGGCCAAUUAAAAGUCACAGGCAAACACACACAAACACACACAUACCUACCAUAGAGUGUUAGAUUGUCAAACUUUGACAAUUAUUUAAUUAAACAGUAGGCAAAUUCAAGCUGAUGUACAUCUUAAUGAAAAGUAAGCAGCCUGAAAGAAACUUAUUUUGAAAAACAAAUUAAAGAACAAGAGAGACUUAAAUCUUUUAAGUUUUUCUAAUGGAAGGAAAACAAUUUCAUUGGUGACUGAAACAGUAUUGUCAAAUUAAAAGAGACUAACAUCUUUCCCUUUGAGAACAUCUCAUUUACAAUGGUAUGGUGUUUAAAAGGCCGGGGUAAAAGAGGAAUUACACAUACAUGAUUAAAUUUCUUGUUUGUUAAAUCAAGCUUUAUUGAUAAAAUGGAAUUCAGAAUAUCUUACUAGGAACAGCAGCAGGCCCAGCCAAUCAUGAUAGCAAAAAUGUGGCAGUCUCCUACUAUAUGUAGGAAGCUGCUGCUUAUCAAUUAGUAAUUAAAUGUAAGGACUUGUAAAAGAGGUGCAAAGAAUCAAGGCAUUUUAGCCCCAAGAUUGAUAUUCUUAUGAAUAUACUGUAUUACCUGCAAUACUCAUAGCAACAAGGAGAGAACAUCCUGAAACACAGUAAAAUAAAGAGAGUGGCUUUAUCAACAAUGCCAAUCCCUUGCCAAGAACAUUAAGAUAGUUUUCCAUCACUCCUGGGAUAUUCAGCUUUGUAAGAUUUUGAAAUUCUUCUCCAUAAUCAUGUGCAUGUUUGAGCACCUAGCUGACAUGGCUGCUGCUCUCCCUGUCCCAACCCCAAAUCCAAAUAUAACAUGACUUGAAAGGGCUAUAUAUCUGUUGCAUCACACAACAAGCCAACAUUUCUUGUAUCUUCGAUAGUGAUUUUAAAGCAGUUCAUAAUUAAAUAUGAGCAUUUUGUACAAGGACAAUUACACUUUACAAAAAAAAAAUCAUACAACAAAAAUUGCUGGAGUCUGAUUUACAACAUGAAUUAUGGUUUGAAAUCACGUUUACAUAAGUCUCAAAUUUACAAAAAAAAAAA